rnacentral:lncRNA from 1 species
UACAUAGAACUUUUUCUUGUAUACGAAGCGAAGCUGAACAAGAACCUGAAACCAAUCACACUACAACCAGUAGUAUAGAGCUGCUAGAAAGGAACAAAAUAUAAAUAAAAACAGAAGUUUACUAUACAUACAUAACAUCUAGGUGUACAAAACGCUCGCUCCAGCGAGAUACAAUAUUAGUAUGUAUAAGAACUCAAAAUUACCACUACCUGUAGCUGGUAUACUCUAGAUCAGUAGCAACUGGGAAGGGAUCUAACUCGUGACUCCCUUUCAGCGGUCUGAAUCAGCAGCAACAGCAGCCGAAGAAGAAGGCUCUGCAAAAGAUUCCGACAACGGGGCGUGAGAACUACUGCAAAAAGAAGUAGUCCUCAGUGGGUACUGCUACUGUCACGCCCCACCCCGAAACCACUACCAAUUUGGCACGAUUCGGCCGCGGCGACAGACCGCCGAACGGACAGCACUCCCCACUGUCCGCCCAAGGCUCAACCACAGGAAUGUGUACAAGAAUUCACCCAGGACUUUAAAUUCUAAACAUACACAUUCAGCAAGGGCACAAACAGUGCCAACAACAAGAAGAGCAAGUAAUCCACGAGAUAUACAAGUGAAAUAAAGAGAGUACUUUACUAACUAUUACAUUAGUUACAUUCAUUACAUCAUUUUUCAUCCAAAAUACAUAGCUCUCCAACCUCACCUACAAGAAUCUCUCUCAAUACAUAGGUGACUAAUGCAAAAAGGAAAGCUACUAUGCUACCACGGUCUCACUGGUCGGGCGCGACGCCCUUGCCGCGGUCCUCUCUCUGCAGCCCCGAACCUACCACUGGAAAUAGAGUGGGGUGAGAACUAUCUUCCAUAGUUCCCAGUGGGCUCGGCCGCCGACCCUGCCGAUCUCCCCACUAGGUCCAAGUGGGCACAAGUAACAACAGAUAGAUUGAUAGAUAUGUAUCUGAAAGCUGUAAAUGCAGUAGUAGGAAAACUAUGCUACUAUGCCCAUAAUCAUGAAUAUGAAUGCAUGCGUCAUAUAAUAAGGUUUACUACCAAGCUAACAAAUUCGAUCCAUGUUCGAAUAGUAAUGUUCAAUGACAUUCAUAAACCUUUAACCUUUUCAUUUACCCAAUCUAUGGCGAGGCCCUAGGGCUCGCCCAUGACUCACCUUCAAAUCCCAAAGUGGGGAGGGAGCUCCAAGUGCACCCAAGCCCGGGACCGUCUGCGGACCUCCAUGUGGUCCGGACCUCCAAGUGGUCCUAGUCGCGCGACACUCCGGAGUACUCGACGACAAUCCCCUCCAUGUGGGGAUUGGAUGGCUAUGCCAUCCUAAACGCAGACUGUGAGCUAGAUCUAUCCUCUCCAAAUGAGGACACUCUACAACUAGAGUUAAUACCCAACCAAAUCCUCUCCAAGUGAGGACGCCCUACACAAGGGUCAACGACUAUCGCGGAAUCAUCGGUUCCCGACAUUCAUACAAUGUUAUUUAGUUUUCUAAAUUCAUUGUUCACAAGGCAUUCUCUAAGGGAUCCGCCUAUCCCUAGGUCCAUCGACCUCUAGUGUUCUUUACACUACAUUAAUGCCACUCGUUAUCAUUCCAUGUUUGGAUGUCACUCGUUUGUUCUUUAACAAUAACACUACUUUCUAUGUCAUCAAUACCCCCAUCGGGUUCAUCUCUUUUCUUUCGCACUAUAGGAUUCACGUCUCGACCCAAUCCUCACCUAUCUAAGUUACCAAGCGUUCCAAGUACACUAGGUUAUCAAUUAGAAAGCAUAAGGAAUUGAGCUACUAUGCAACCCUACAAUGCAACAUGAAGAGAUGAGAUUAAAUGCAAUCUAAGACAUAGAAAGGAGUUCGAAAGUUUCGGAUGACACCCCCCACCUUUUAUCAAUGUAGAGGCUUUGGAAAUUCUUGUCGGCGAGCUUCGCAAAAAGGCUUUAGCCUUCCUCGCCCGAAUCAAUGCUAGCCCGGCCCAAUUUUGCCGAGAACUCCACGUCGGUUCGCCGAAUGCCAAAAUCGACUUCGCCCCCGCGUUUUGGGACCUAACAAUAGGGUUUCCAAGGCUUCAAAUGAGAUCAAUCUCAUACAUUUACAAAAACCUCAUUUUGGAACCCUAGAUUUGCACCUAUAGCAAAUCACCCCAUAAAUCCCUAGAUUCUUGGGAUUGAUCUAUUUAGAAGCUUGCUUAGGGUCCAUUUGACCCAUUCCAAGGCAUAAAACCCAAAAACCCUAAGUUCUAGAAGCUAGGGUUUAGUAGCUUACCUCAAGAGCUACUCCAAUGGGAAGAGGAGAGGGAGUUGGAGGUGCUCAAAGCCUUCCUCUUGAUCUCCUUCCUCUUCUCCUUCCUUAUCUUCCUCUUCUUUUCCUUCCUCUCCUUCUUGUUCUUCUUCUCCUUCUUUCCUUUCUAGAGAGAGAGAGAGAGAGAGAGAAAUGAGAGUGAGAGAGAGGAAAUGAGAGAGUGUGAGGGAGAGAGAGGGCUCAGCCCACUCAAAUAAAUGCCAUUUUGCACAAAAGCCCCUCAACUUUUACCCCUGUGCACUGCCCUUACUGGGCAGUUUUCGCGCGGAGAGACCGGUCUCCCCGACUUGGGACCGGUCCCCGAGAGCUUCCCUCGGGCGCACGCGUUCGGGAACCGGUCUCUCCCCGGGAGACCGGUCCUCGGGAGACCGGUCCUCACCUGAGAGACCGGUCCCCGAGAGCUUGAUUUUCAGGACUUAGCCAAUUUUUGGCAUCUCACGCUGGGGCCACGUUCGGGAACCGGUCCCUCACCACCAGGGACCGGUUGCAUCACGCAACCCCGCAACACCCAGCCGAGGGAACCGGUCUCUCACCUGCAGAGACCGGUCCCCGAGAGCAACUUCUGCCCAAUGAUGCCAUUUGCCUCAUUUGCUCUCGCGGACUCAACUCCAAGGCACUUUUUGUGCUUUGGACAUUCUCAACUCCCACAAAGGGUAUACUUUCGACAAUUAGUCGAUCCUGGAUGAAGUACAAUCCUCGCAUUUCGAGAAUUC